GGACUUGUAGCAUAUGGAUAAAAGACAAAGAGACAACCAGGUUGCGUAGAGAACCCUACUGAAGUACUUUCGACGAGCAGUAGCGUCUAGACAAACACUGCCCCCAAGCCGGUUUCCAAUGCAUCAGCUUUCUACAGUAGAGGGCGCCAGAUUGCUGGUUACUCUGCCACGGAUGCAUUGCUACAAUC